rnacentral:lncRNA from 1 species
GACUGAGGCGGAUCCAGAGGGCACAUCACAGCUGGACGCUCAGAACAGAGGUCCCGGGGCCAGCCAGGGUCCUUGGCCUGAGUCAUGGCAACAGAAGCCAAUCGAGCAGCCACAGUUACCCCCAGGUCUGGAACUGAAGGGCUCCCUCCGUGGCAGGGCCUCAGCCACCCCAGCCUGGCCAGACAGAUCAACCCCAGAAAGUCCCGCCCCAGGAGAAGCCCAGGAGGAGGAGCCGCCGUCUCAAGGAGCUGGGGGCCUGCCAUGUUGUCGUCGCUCUGCUGUACGUGUUCCUUGGGGGUUACCUGGCCGCCAUCGUCCAGAGCCUUCACCUGGUGGUGCUGAAGUCUUGGUAUCCGUUCUGGGGGGCUGCUUCUGUGAGUAGAGGCCAAAACAUUGGCCCAGUGGGGGUAGGGAGAGCUGGCGACCCUGGGAACCGGAUGCAGGGUGGGGCAGAGGGAGCCGGUAGGAGGACAGCAGCCUCAGCGCCUUUCUCAGUCCUCCCAGCUCUGCCUCUGCUCUCUUGGUCACACUGGAAGUAGCGCCGUCUCCUAAUUCACACGGGGGCCCAUCAGAGAGGAGGGUGAACAUGAGCUGGGGAGCUACCUGCAGCUUCUUCAGGCUUCUGGGCAGCCAGGCACCUCCGGAUCCAGCCACCCAUCCCUGGUGCCUAAAGUCUCUGUCAGGGUCCAGCUGCAGGGCACAAGGAUGUAAGGCCCAGCUCCGGUCCUCCCAAGGCCAUCAGCCAGGGCGGGCGAUGAGAGAAGGGCAGGGAGCACCUUCCCGGAGGCCCUCCAGGGUAUCCUCCCCACCCCCCACCCCCCGUCCUGGCAGGGUCCCACUCACACACCAAGUCCCAGCUCCUCAGCACCCCUCAGGCAGGUGUCCCAACUCUUCCUGCUGUCACUUCAGUCCUCUUUCCCCUCUGCACCCCACCCCCAGAGCUUUCAGUGCAUAGGGAAGGGAACCAUCUCUGCAUCACCUCGACUGGUGCAUAGCAGGCGCUCAGUGCACAUGUGAUAGAAUAAUUGCAGGAAAACACCAGAGACCCCAGAACCAAGAGCGAAUAUCCUCCAAACGACAGGACCCAGGAAAGGAGCAAGGGUCGGCGCAAAGGGGGCAGUGCAGCUGAUCCCCACGGGAGGGUCUGGGCUGGUAAAAGGGGGAAGCGAGGGGACCAGGAGGGCAUUCUUGAGCCCAGGAGGGAAGGUCCGUGCACACAGGGAAGACCAGCCUGGCUGGAGCGUGAUCUGUGGGCAGGGUGAGCCCCCUUUGUUGGAGGAAUGGUGUUCUCUGCCCCACCAGCCACCAGAGAUUGAUUUUCUAAGAGCAUAGCAGGAAGGGAAUGUGUGAGUUUCAAGGAACCCCAGCUUCUCUCUUAUGACUGUUUCAAAUCUGGUCUGCAGUUCCUCAUUUCAGGGAUCUUGGCAAUAACAAUGGAGACAUUUCAGAAAAAUUACCUGGUAAGUCACAGCGUUGAGAGUGUUCCCUUCCAUCCCAAGCCUGGGGUGACUUUUCAACGGGCAUCGUUUGGAGUGGGGACUCAAGAGGCAUCUCUCCAGGAUUUGCUAGACGUGGGCACCAGCCUCUGGGACAGCAGAGGGCGUCCGGGCUGAAUGGUCCCCCUUCCUGGAGGUCUGACCUCACACCCUGACUCCCGCCUUUCUCUCCACCUGCUGCCCUCUCCCCACCCCGGUUCUGGCCUAGAGACAGGCAUCAUCCAACCUGUUGAUGGUAGCCUUGGAGAUUGUUCUGCCAGCCCUACCUUGGCCCCCCUGGGCCCCGCCAUCAUACUCCCUACCCCACCCCACCCAAGGCUUGCCUCCAACAUCAGCAAGUCUACCUGCCUGCAGGCUGGACCGCAGCUGGGUUUCCAUAUACGUCUCACCUCUAAGCGCCAGCUGGACACAAGUGGUCCCCCCUGUGCUCUGUGCUGUCUCGUGCCCAGACACCUUGCCUUUCCCCACUGUGCAUGUUCUCCUGGCUUUGACUUCCUCCUGAUCAUUCUUCAAGGCGUACUUUACAUGCCUCCUCCUCCAGGCAGUCUUCCCUGACCUGCCCUGGCUGGCUCCUGUGUCCCCACAGCUCCUUGGACUUCUCUGUCUCCUUUCUCUCUCAGGCACUAAGCUUGGGCAGCAAUUGCCUGAGCAUCUUUCUAGCCCGAGGCAGCCCAGGGAGGCACAGAGUGGACACCCACAUGAGCCCAAGUGGAUGGAGGUGGAUGGGGGCGGGAAGGACCUUCCCAUCCACCCUGUGUCAUGGCCUCAGCACCCCCUCCACCCACAAGCCCUGCCUGGGUCCACAUUCAUGCCUCCCAUUGCUGAUGAACGGGGAUGGCCUGUCUCUUCUGUGAAUUCACAGGAUCUGAUGGAAAAAAGGGAAGACUCGCCAUCCAGCUUCUCCACUUCCCACCACCUCCCUCUCCCCAAGGGGCAGGGCAGCCCAGGCAUGGUCCCUUGCUCCUCCCUGGCUUGUGCUCUGGCUGUCCCCACCGCCCUCUGUCCGCAGGAGCAGUCUUUGCUGGGGCUGGACGUGGAGUAUGGGGCAGGGUGUGGUGCAUCCGAGCUCGUUCAGCCAGGACGUGCGCAAAACUCAUCUCGGUCAAGCACCAAGGCCGGCUCACAUUCGUGCCUCCCAGACCGGGCUGGACUGGCUGCCCCCUGCCCUCUUGGGGUGUAGCAGACAAAAGCAUGUUGUGCCACUUACCCAGCAGAGGCAGGGAUGCUUGGCAGAAACCUGGCCAUUCCUCCUGGGCUGGGCCCCUUCCAGACCCAUAAGCCUACCUCUUCCUACACCUGAACACGGGGAGCCUCUCGUUGCAGAGAACUCCAUUCUAGCAUAACAGGUUGGGGUGCCUUAUGUUUAUACCCUUUCCCCGUUAUAGAGGUUUGCACUUGGCAAGAAUCCCGUGGAAUAAGGUGAGACCCAAGACGAUGAGGAAUGAGGCAUUUCCGGGGCUAUGGCGGGCAGGGAAGGGGGUGACCUGAGUGAGUGAAGAUAGGGCACUUUCGGGGCUCAUCCCACCUGGGUCAGGGGGGCCAUUUGGGUGUCGAGACUCUGAUCAGUUAGCAUAUCUGCUGCCAGGAUGACUGGGAACAGCUUGGAGAGAAAGACGGCAGAGCAGGGGGUGGGGCUUCCUUCCUUAUUGCAAAGCCUGUGGAUCCAGAGGUGGUCCUUGCAUUCUCUGGGUCCCAUCCCAUAGAAGGCGAGGGCCAGUUGGGGCUCCUCGUGGUCAGCCAGCUCAGAAAGCUGUGUGUGGGUGAACUUCUGGCCCAGAGACAGGCAGCAUUUUCCUGAGGUCACAAAGUGAGCUACUGGCUGGCCUGCGUGGAGGACCGAGGACUCAUCUCUGACCUUUGGACUACAGCUGUCACUUUUUUUUUGCUUAUAGGCGGCGUGCCUGACAGCAAAUGCCAUCAGCUUCUUCUGUGUGCUCUGUGGCCUCUUUGUCAUCGCCAAGGAUCUCUUUCUGGAGAGCCCAUUUGACUUCCCUGUCUGGAAACCAUACCCCAACGACACAGUCCACAUCCAGAGGCUGGUGCUGGCCCUGCUCUGCGUCACCUGCCUGGAGGUCUUCCUGCCGGGGCUCAUGGCCAUCCUGGCCUACAGGGAUACCCGCCUGGCUGCAGAGAAGGAUGACCUGUCCCUUGGCCCUGACAUGCUGUUGGAGCUCAGGGGAUCUCCGAUGACACCUCCACCAUCCUAUGACGAUGUGACUAAAGGCAACGGGUGGCAGGAGCAGAAGCAGAUGUGAAGAGGCACUGGCUCCACGCACCAUCAGAAUUCACCCACUGGUCCCUUGUCCCGGACAGAUUAAGGACCAAUUCCAAGGGGCGGUUACCAGAAGGGGGCAAAUGGUACCGUGGCUAAAAACGUCUGCCCCAUGCUGGUGGCCAGGGAGAGGAAGUCCCCAUUCUGUCUGGCAUGGGAGGGACCUCCAGGUCCCCACGCCCCAUAACAUCCCAGCUGGACCAGAACACAACUGGGUCCUGCCCACCCACCCAGGCAGACACGGGAACAGACCCCUGGGUCCGCAGCCCCCUCCCCCACCCUCCUUGUCUGCUUCCCCCAGUCCCUGGUGGGCACAUAGACAUCCUGUCCACGUGGGGCUGUGCCGGAAGACAGAGAAGUGUCCUCAGAGCUCAGAUGGGCACUGUUUUCCCUGGACUCAACCUACCAAGGGGUCUCUACAAACACUUGUGUUUGAAUCCCUGGAUUCAGGGUGGAGACAGCAGGGGCAAUCAGACAGAAACUAUGACCAGUUCUUCCUCCCAAACCAUCAGCAUGUCUCCCCGCCCCCACCCCGGGGCCUCAGUGUCUCCAUCUGUACAGGGAAGGGGCGGGCGGAAGAUGUGACCAGGACCUACCUGCUGGGAAGUUCUGAGAUCAGAGUCAAGUUCACUCAAGGUUAUCAAGGAAGCAUCAGCGUCAGAAUUCCACACCUCCUUGUGCUGAGUGAAUAGUGGGGAGAGAGACCUACCUUCCUCAUUUCCCAAAUUUUCAGUCAUCCAAGGGCCGACCUUACAAAUUUGGUCUAUUUGUGGACUGUGCUGUAUUCCCUUUAUGUUCCCUUAAAUUGCCUUUUUUUCUCAUGCACUAUUAUGUGAGGGGUAAUUUGCAUCAGCAACAAACAGGAAGUCUGUACCUAUCCAUACAAAGAAGCCAACCACAAAAAUCACGUAAACAUGGUAAAAAUAAAACAAAAGCAACUUGUCGC